CGCGCAGGCGGCUUUUUAAGUCAGGCGUGAAAGCCCGAGGCUAAACCUCGGAAGUGCGUUUGAUACUGAAAAGCUUGAGUACGGGAGAGGGAAGUGGAAUUCCUGGUGUAGAGGUGAAAUUCGUAGAUAUCAGGAGGAACACCGGUGGCGAAGGCGACUUCCUGGACCGAUACUGACGCUGAGGCGCGAAAGCGUGGGGAGCAAACA
rnacentral:rRNA from 1 species